rnacentral:rRNA from 1 species
AUUGAACGCUAGCGGGAUGCCUUACACAUGCAAGUCGAACGGAGUGGCGAACGGGUGAGUAAUGUAUCGGAACGUGCCCAGUAGCGGGGGAUAACUACGCGAAAGCGUAGCUAAUACCGCAUACUAUUGGAGCGGCCGAUAUCGGAUUAGCUAGUUGGGGGGGUAACGGCUCACCAAGGCGACGAUCCGUAGCUGGUUUGAGAGGACGACCAGCCCACACUGGAAUGAGACACGGGCCAGACCUCUAAGGGAGGCAGGAGUGGGGAAUUUGUGGAAAAGGGGGAAACCCUGAUCCAGCCAUCCCGCGUGUGCGAUGAAGGCCUUCGGGUUGUAAAGCACUUUUGGCAGGAAAGCGGUACCUGCAGAAUAAGCACCGGCUAACUACGUGCCAGCAGCCGCGGUAAUAC